GACACAGUAGACACAGGGCUUGGAUCCUCAGUAUAAUGUUUCCUCCUUCUCCAUGGUAAAGAUGAUGUGUCUUGCAGACCAAGAUGUUUGAGUUGCAGUGAGAAAUGGAUACUCCAGGGCAGGUGUGGGAAGGACACUGCCCCACCCACCCAGACAUGGGAAGGGCACCUCUGAUGGAAGGCAAACAGGUUCCUAAAGUAAUCUCACAACCUUCCAUGUGGAAUGACAGGACAUUUCCAUGAUGAUGGCUGUAAUUCUUGAUCCUCACCACCCUGCAAUUGAUUUGCUGAAGCCGCUGACAUACCCCUGUGAUGCAGGAUGCCUGUAGAAGCUAUCUCAGAGCUGCCAAGCAGUUGCUGUAGGGUUCAAGUCAGCCAGCUCAAGCUCCUGUCCUCAAAACCAUCCCGAUUCCAAAUCUUGUCAAUAAAGGACAGUUGCCUUUUGUGGUCAAUUAUAUGAGCCCUCAUUGCUUUGGUUCUCUCUACCAAUGAUGGUCUCUGAAGAUGGGAAGGGCUAAGACUACAUGACUCAGGACAAGUAACUUCCUCCCUUGACCAAAAUGGGGCCAUAUGAACUAACAACUCAGUGUUUUCAAGAAAUCAACUGGAAAGAAUGUCAGGAAUCCAGCAAUGUUUGGUCACCAAACUACAUACCCGGCUUCUUCCAACUCUAAGCAAAACGUAGGAUUGAUGAAGUGAAACAUAUGACCUAUGCCAGUAAUUGUGAAGGCAUUAAAGAUGCUCCAUUCCAGGCAAAACAACAUCUUUAUGGUCUUUGAUAUUGAUUAGGGACCCCCCAACUUUUAACAUUAUAGCCUGUGAGAUUUCUCUUUGGAAAUAACGACAAAGACUUACAAAGCAAAUGAAGGUCAAAAUACUGUGUAGUAGUUUGGUGGAUUGUUGUAAUCACAAUGCCCAGUGAAUCCCGUGUCCCUGUUAACAAACCCUUUUGUGAUGGGACUUUCUCUCCUCAACUUCAGGGGUUGAAUUUAUUUCCCCACGCGGUGAUCUUGGGCUGAGCUGUAACUUGUUUCUAUCAAUAGGAUGUUUCAGGUGUGACAUUGCCCACUUUCCUAGGCUAACCCUUAAGGUGCUUUGCAGUUUCUGCCUUUGCUCUUUUGGAACCUUGAGCUCACCAUACUCUGAAGAACUCAGGAAUAAACGACCAAGUGGCUGGAGAGGCCCAGCUAACCUAAGGAUUUCUGCCAUUCUAGCUGGGACCUGGUCCAUCAGAGAGAGCACAUUAGAUCAUCUCAGCUCAGCUGACUGCAGUCACAUGAGGGAGGCCUGAUUGUGGUUUGGCAAGAAAUGACCUGAUAGAUGCUGGACUCUGCUAAAGGUGGACCUGCUCCAAGUGUUUCAUCAUGUUACUGAGACCAAGAGGAACUCAAAUUUUUGACUUCUUAGCUGAACAACGGCUUCUUUGUUUCAAGGUGGUGUCCAAUAUGCGCCAGAAGCAAUGAGCUUGAUUGACUCAGUAGAUGAGAAACCCCAAGUCUACAAAACUUUCACAAAAUGCAGGAUUUGAAAGAAGAUCCAGUCCUGAGGGUGAGAGGACCAUUAGCUUGCAAGAGAGCACAACUGUGAACUGCUGACUGCUU
rnacentral:lncRNA from 1 species